rnacentral:sRNA from 1 species
AAUAUUCUGCCCAUGCGAGGGAUGAGAAGCUUCGACCAAGGUUCGACUCGAGCGCCAGCGAGAGAGCGUUGCCGCAGGCAACGACCCGAAGGGCGAAGCGCGCAGCGCUGAGUAAUCCUUCCCCCACCACCA